rnacentral:rRNA from 1 species
GUACGGGAGGCAGCAGUAAGGAAUAUUGGUCAAUGGACGAAAGUCUGAACCAGCCAUGCCGCGUGAAGGAUUAAGGCCCUCUGGGUUGUAAACUUCUUUUAUCUGGGACGAAAAAAGGGUAUUCUUACUCACUUGACGGUACCAGAGGAAUAAGCACCGGCUAACUCCGUGCCAGCAGCCGCGGUAAUACGGAGGGUGCAAGCGUUAUCCGGAUUUACUGGGUUUAAAGGGUGCGUAGGUGGGCUUGUAAGUCAGUGGUGAAAUCUCCGGGCUUAACCCGGAAACUGCCAUUGAUACUAUAGGUCUUGAAUUAUAUGGAGGUAAGCGGAAUAUGUCAUGUAGCGGUGAAAUGCUUAGAUAUGACAUAGAACACCAAUUGCGAAGGCAGCUUACUACGUAUAUAUUGACACUGAGGCACGAAAGCGUGGGGAUCAAACAGGAUUAGAUACCCUGGU